GUCAGCACAUGUCACUAAUAGAUUAUGGAAUGCCAUAUGCUAGCCUCCUGACAAAGUGGAACUGAUAUCUAUAAUGCAAUAUAGGAGCAAAGCUACAUGACCAAAUACAGCUGGCAGUUUUGCUGGAGUGGCAGAAAAGCUCCUGAUAAAAGCAGAGCCCGAGCGAGCCUCCAGCACUGGUCCUAGAACAUCCAUACUCUGGCUCCGUGGCGUGCUGUGCAGGGAGUCACACAGGAUCCUGCCUGGGUCUUCAGAUCUUUGCUGGGGUUCCACAUCGCUAUGGACGCAGAGAUGGCGAGAUACGGACCGGCCGCUAAAAGCGCCUCCGGAAACCCGAGAAAGAAGCGAGUCCCAAAUCAGACCUUACGCCCAAACCGCCGCAGAGCAGAAACUGGAGACCGGGGUGCGCGAGCUGGAGAACGAGCUGGAAGCUGAGCAGAGACGUGGCGUCGAUGCGGUUAAAGGAGUCCGCAAAUACGAGAGAAGAGUCAAGGAGCUCAGCUACCAGGUACAGUGAAGGCUUCAGCAUUGCAGCAUUGGGCUUAGACAUUGAAAACAUAUUGGGGGUUACUGAAGGGGAACUAGG